rnacentral:rRNA from 1 species
GUAGGUGGCAAGCGUUGUCCGGAAUUAUUGGGCGUAAAGCGCGCGCAGGUGGUUCUUUAAGUCUGAUGUGAAAGCCCCCGGGCUCAACCGGGGAGGGUCAUUGGAAACUGGGGAACUUGAGUGCAGGAGAGGAAAGUGGGAUUCCACGUGUAGCGGUGAAAUGCGUAGAUAUGUGGAGGAACACCAGUGGCGAAGGCGACUUUCUGGCCUGUAACUGACACUGAGGCGCGAAAGCGUGGGGAGCAAACAGGAUUAGAUACCCUGGUAGUCCACGCCGUAAACGAUGAGUGCUAAGUGUUGGGGGGGUUUCCGCCCCUCAGUGCUGCAGCUAACGCAUUAAGCACUCCGCCUGGGGAGUACGGUCGCAAAGACUG